UACGUAGGGGGCAAGCGUUGUCCGGAUUUAUUGGGCGUAAAGAGCGUGUAGGCGGCUUGGUAGGUCCGCUGUGAAAACUCGAGGCUCAACCUCGAGAUGUCGGCGGAAACUGCUUGGCUAGAGUCCGGAAGAGGAGAGUGGAAUUCCCGGUGUAGCGGUGAAAUGCGCAGAUAUCGGGAGGAACACCUAUGGCGAAGGCAGCUCUCUGGGACGGUACUGACGCUGAGACGCGAAAGCGUGGGGAGCGAACAGG
rnacentral:rRNA from 1 species